GAUGAACGUUGGCGGCGUGCCUAACACAUGCAAGUCGAGCGGAGAUAGCAGCAAUGUUAUCUUAGCGGCGGACGGGUGAGUAACGCGUGGGUAACCUGCCUUUUACAGGGGGAUAACACAGGGAAACUUGUGCUAAUACCGCAUAACAUACCGGGGUGGCAUCAUUCUGGUAUCAAAGGAGCAAUCCGGUAGAAGAUGGGCCCGCGUCCGAUUAGCUAGGUGGGGGUGUAAUGGACCACCAAGGCGACGAGCGGGAGCCGAACUGAGAGGUUGAUCGGCCACAUUGGGACUGAUACACGGCCCAGACUCCAACGGGACGCAGCAGUGGGGAAUAUUGCGCAAUGGAGGAAACGCUGACGGAGCAACGACGCGUGAAGGAUGAAGGUCUUCGGAUUGUAAACUGCUUUAGUCGGGGACGAAGAAAUGACGGGACCCGAAGAAUAAGCCACGGCUAACUACGUGCCAGCCGCCGCAGUAA
rnacentral:rRNA from 1 species